ACGCUCGACACCUACGGAGGCAGCAGUGGGGAAUAUUGCACAAUGGGGGAAACCCUGAUGCAGCGACGCCGCGUGAGCGAAGAAGUAUUUCGGUAUGUAAAGCUCUAUCAGCAGGGAAGAAAAUGACGGUACCUGACUAAGAAGCCCCGGCUAACUACGUGCCCGCAGCCGCGGUAAUCUGAGCGGGCUGGCAAGGC
rnacentral:rRNA from 1 species